AAUCAUAACAGUACUGCCCUAAAGGUACCAGAUCCUGUCUGACCCUAGGAGCUAAGCAGAGCCAGCGCUGAUUAUUACUUGGAUGAAAGAUCGCCAGAAAAUACUAGGUGCUGUAGCUA
rnacentral:rRNA from 11 species